rnacentral:rRNA from 1 species
AACGUAGGAGACGAGCGUUAUCCGGAUUUACUGGGCGUAAAGCGCGUGUAGGAGGCUGUACAAGUUGGAUGUAAAAUCUCCCGGCUUAACUGGGAGGCGUCGUUCAAAACUGUAGAGCUAGAGUGCGGGAGAGGUAAUCGGAACUCCGGGAGUAGCGGUGAAAUGCGUAGAUAUCCGGAAGAACACCAGAGGCGAAAGCGGAUUACUGGCCCAUAACUGACACUGAGACGCGAAAGCCAGGGUAG